rnacentral:rRNA from 1 species
AUGGGCUUCUUGCACUUGAAUACCAGUAAUGACAUUUUGCACAGUUGCGCGGCACACGACCUCACAGAUUUUAAAAACACCAUUUUCUACAACCUCACCGGCUCCUACGUCGCCCAGUUCAACCACACCACCACCUUGCUCACCUCCAUCAUCAUGUUCGUCCUCGCAGCGCUCUUCUUCAACCUCAACCUCUUCAGUAGGCUCUCCGACGUCAGCGCCAUCCUCGACCCCAGCGUCCGCCUCUUCAUCACCUCCGCGCUCUCCCUCUUCCUCCCCGUCAUGUCCUACCUCUUCUCCGAGGCCAGGAACGCCACCGGCGGUGCCCGCUCCAAGUUCACCGACGAGUUGCCCCUGCGAGCCCGGCUCAUCCUCAUCUGGAUGCUCCUUGUGGAGCUCCUCCGCAAGAAGGCCGAGGAGAUCCACAUGCAGGGUUACUCCGGCACCAUGGACCGUGUGGGGCGUGUCCUCUUGCUGGGGAGCUUUGUCUUCUUCCACCUGCAUGAUGCUGGCAAGCGGUCCAUGCUGGGCAUCCUCUGGCUUCUCUGUGCCACAAGGCUUGUACAGAGGAUCGUCUUCACCGAGGUCGGGAAACGCUCCCUUGCCUACGGUGUAGGCAAGAAUGCUCGGCUCAUCACCUCCUACAUGGCUCAAGUGCUCGAAGAAGAUCAAAUGGAGCACCGUCACCAUUGCCUGGAUGGAGACGAGCUACUCAGGGGGUGCAAGUACGCGGUGAUGGAAGAAGAGAAUCUGGUGGUUCAGGCCAGCCCGGAUGGCUACCGCCUAACCAGCGACGCCGCCGCCGUCACCGUGGGCAAGAUCUGGGGGCUUGCCGAGAUCUCUUCCCUGGACGGAGAUAAACGUCUGAGGCAGCUCUGCCUCUCCUUGGCACUCUUCAAGCUGCUGCGCCGGAGGUUCGAGCGCCUGCCGGCAAUGACCGCGGCGGAGACCCGCAGCUACCGGGAACUCAUCUUCAAAGGUAUGCGCAGCAACAUAGAGAAAGAGACAGCAGAGGCAAACACGGGCAUGGCGGAGGCCCUGUUCCGGCUGACCAACGACGAGCUCAGCUUCCUAUGCGAGUAUUACCACCCGGUUGUCCCCGUCGUCCUGGCAAGUCCCUUCUUCCUGCUCGCCAACUACUUGCUGCUCCCGCUGCUCGUCUUGGUCCUCUGCCUCGUACUCAUCGUCCUCUGCACCAACGGCGACGUCGGCUACGCCCGGGACAGCAUCAAGGACGACAACUACUUUACUUUCUUCAGCGUAACGUACCACUAUGAUGACCGGGUGCCUGCCUAA